UUUUCCAUAGGGGAUUUUAUAACUACUUCAUAUAAGGUCUGUGUUUCGCGUAGUCUUACCCCGGCGUGACGUUUCGAUAACCGUGCAAAUCUCUAUCGUACAAAGUAACUUUAUAUAUUUGUCUGUAAUUAGCCCCUAAAAACAAGACUAAUUAUCCACUAGUGUGGCACAGAACUACACAUCUUGUCACAAGCUUUGAUGUCAUCCCUCAAGGCAAAUUUCUCCAUGCAAACUCAUCGACAAGUAUCAAAUACCCUAGCAAGUAGUGUAGAUAUUAUAGCCUUUUUAGUUUCUCCUGUAAAUAAUUGAUAUUGUGUUUCUUGUGUGGUGUUGUUUUAGCAUUUUUCAAAUUACCUAGCUAGCUAUCUUAACAUGUUUAAAAAAUAUCUAUAUUUUUUUAUUUCCCUCUGCCUUUGUAGCGAACUUGUUAACCUUAGGUCUCUCCAUCGAUCAGAAGCAAGGAUCGUACUGUGCUAUCUGCUCUGAUUUGAUCGUUUUCCAACCUUUAUGGGUGUACCGGAAACCUAGUUACAACACUCGGGUCUGCAGCUGCCAGUUUCCGGGUAGUCCAACAACAGUGCAUCCCUCAGGACAUCCGGUGCCAGUGUGAUCCAGUUGUAGAGGUUCAAGCCGGGGGACGGACAGAUCAAUAAUUCAUCAAGUAUGAUACAAUAGCGUAAAACGUUGGAUUAGAAGAUGCAUCGAAAGUUGACAUUGUCUCCUUUUCCCCAUGUUUUAGAGACAUGAGGCGUAACAUGCGGAACAUGGUUAGGUUAGACUGGGGAGAGCAGAGUGCCGACCACCCUACUAAAAGCUGACCACCCUACUAAAGCCAAGGUUAGAAGCAGUGCAUGAUCAACGCAUAGUAACCAGGAGGGGUAUGGUGUUGAUAUCGUGUAGGCAUAGUAACCAGGAGGGUUAUGGUGUUGAUAUCGUGUAGGCAUAGUAACCAGGAGUGGUAUGGUGUUGAUAUCGUGUAGGCAUAGUAACCAGGAGUGGUAUGGUGUUGAUAUCGUGUAGUCAUAGUAACCAGGAGGGGUAUGGUGUUGAUAUCGUGUAGGCAUAGUAACCAGGAGGGGUAUGGUGUUGAUAUCGUGUAGGCAUAGUAACCAGGAGGGGUAUGGUGUUGAUAUCGUGUAGUCAUAGUAACCAGGAGGGGUAUGGUGUUGAUAUCGUGUAGGCAUAGUAACCAGGAGGGGUAUGGUGUUGAUAUCGUGUAGGCAUAGUAACCAGGAGGGGUAUGGUGUUGAUAUCGUGUAGGCAUAGUAACCAGGAGGGGUAUGGUGUUGAUAUCGUGUAGUCAUAGUAACCAGGAGGGGUAUGGUGUUGAUAUCGUGUAGGCAUAGUAACCAGGAGUGGUAUUGUGUUGAUAUCGUGUAGGCAUAGUAACCAGGAGGGGUAUGGUGUUGAUAUCGUGUAGUCAUAGUAACCAGGAGUGGUAUGGUGUUGAUAUCGUGUAGGCAUAGUGACCAGGAGGGGUAUUGUGUUGAUAUCGUGAAGAGAUAGUAACCAGGGGGGGUAUGGUGUUGAUAUCGUGUAGGCAUAGUAACCAGGGGGGGUAUGGUGUUGAUAUCGUGUAGGCAUAGUGACCAGGAGGGCUAUGGUGUUGAUAUCGUGUAGGCAUAGUAACCAGGAGGGGUAUGGUGUUGAUAUCGUGUAGGCAUAGUAACCAGGAGGGGUAUGGUGUUGAUAUCGUGUAGGCAUAGUAACCAGGAGGGGUAUGGUGUUGAUAUCGUGUAGUCAUAGUAACCAGGAGGGGUAUGGUGUUGAUAUCGUGUAGGCAUAGUAACCAGGAGGGGUAUGGUGUUGAUAUCGUGUAGGCAUAGUAACCAGGAGGGGUAUGGUGUUGAUAUCGUGUAGGCAUAGUAACCAGGAGGGGUAUGGUGUUGAUAUCGUGUAGUCAUAGUAACCAGGAGGGGUAUGGUGUUGAUAUCGUGUAGGCAUAGUAACCAGGAGUGGUAUGGUGUUGAUAUCGUGUAGGCAUAGUAACCAGGGGGGGUAUGGUGUUGAUAUCGUGUAGGCAUAGUAACCAGGAGUGGUAUGGUGUUGAUAUCGUGUAGGCAUAGUAACCAGGGGGGUAUGGUGUUGAUAUCGUGUAGUCAUAGUAACCAGGGGGGGUAUGGUGUUGAUAUCGUGUAGUCAUAGUAACCAGGGGGGUAUGGUGUUGACAUCGUCCGUAUCUAAAGAACAAAAGGCAGUCCCUCCAAGAUUUCGCAACAUUUUUUUGGAAUAUCUGCAGCCAAAAAUGCUUGAUUUUGCCGCAGCUUUUCUGAAAUUCUGCGAUACACUUCACAAUGUUUUUUUGUUGUUGCGAUAAUUUCAUUUAAACCAGUAAAAGUCAUAUGUGCUCAGUUUUAGGACCACUUUAAGCAGAAAACAUCAUACAAAAACAAUUAAACAUAUAAAGUGCUCAAUUGUGUUUAUUUUCCUGAACAAACAACUCAUAAUAACUCAACGUCAUAAUCCACUCACACCUCUCCUCUCCAUCAGGCUUGGGGCUUGCAAUCAACACAAGAUGCACCUCCUAUUCCAUCUCUCUCUCUCCCUCUAUGCCUCUCCCCCUCUAUUUCUCCCUCUCUCCCUCUCUCUUAAAAAAACAAAUAGAUUCAAAGCUGAUCAAUCACCUUUCAAUUUGAGGAUCGAUAUUUCUUUCAAAUAAAUU